GACGAAGGGGGCUAGCGUUGUUCGGAAUUACUGGGCGUAAAGCGCGUGUAGGCGGUUGCCAAAGUCGGGUGUGAAAGCCUUGAGCUCAACUCAAGAAUUGCACUCGAUACUUGGUGACUAGAGGACCGGAGAGGAUAGUGGAAUUCCAAGUGUAGUGGUGAAAUACGUAGAGAUUGGGAAGAACACCAGUGGCGAAGGCGGCUAUCUGGACGGUUUCUGACGCUAAGACGCGAAAGCGUGGGAGCAAACAGG
rnacentral:rRNA from 1 species